rnacentral:rRNA from 1 species
CAGCAGCCACGGGAAUACGUAGGGUGCGAGCGUUAAUCGGAGUUACUGGGCGUAAAGCGUGCGCAGGCGGUUGUGAAGACAGGUGUGAAAUCCCCGGGCUUAACCUGGGAACUGCGCUUGUGACUGCACAGCUAGAGUAUGGCAGAGGGGGGUGGAAUUCCACGUGUAGCAGUGAAAUGCGUAGAGAUGUGGAGGAACACCGAUGGCGAAGGCAGCCCCCUGGGCCAAUACUGACGCUCAUGCACGAAAGCGUGGGGAGCAAACAGGAUUAGAUACCCCGGUAGUCCCUGUCUCUUAUACC